GGCACAUCUAUUCCCCUAAUAAAGGCUUGUUGUGGCCUGGUCUGGUCUUGGUCUUUGGCACUUUUACCUGACAUUUCUGGUGCCGUGACUCGGAUGGUAGAUGGUCCAUUAAUGGACGAUCCCCCCCAGGAUGGGGUUGAUUGACCUUUUGGCCAUCUCCAAUGGACCUAUCUGCCAUUGCCAGGACCCUCCGGGGCUUUCUACCUUUGCCAUUGCUGGCGCUACACAUCCACACCGGUCACCAAUGUCUGGGUGAGUAGGGAGUUCAGCCUCCCUCUCGUCGGGUUCUCUGUCUCGUGUUCUCUCCCCCUCUGGGGACUUCUCAGAAAUCCAAGCGCUUGGUCAGAGAAACCCCCACGGCCUCUGGGCCCAGGACCCUGCCCCUGGGAGACGUCCCAUCGGCCCGCCUCCUCUCAUUCUCUCCCUUUGGGAGACUCACUCGGAGAUUGUCAAAGGAGACAAGGACGUUUCUCCCCUUUGUCUUUCCCCCCAGGGGCUGCCUCCUCCUCACCCGCUCUAAUCAGGGGGCCCAACAAUCCAAACCCCGCCCCUCAAUGCCUCCGGGCUGCCUUCUGGCACAACUCAAACCCCUCGGAUUGUUGGGACCAGACUUUAAGCCAAAAAGACUUGUUUUCUAUUACAAUCAGGUUUGACCUCAGUAUAAAUUAGAUAAUGGGUUUCCAUGGCCCAAAAAUGGCACUUUCAAGUUUAACUUACUGUGUGAUUUACACAACUUCUGUCAACACAAUGGCAAAUGGUCAGAAAUCCCCUACAUACAAGCCUUUCCUAACUAUGCUUUUAACCCUCCCUCUGUCAAACCUGUUCUCCUUCUCAAAUCGUCCUAGCCUGAGCCAAUCACUCACCGCUCAUACCUCCCCCACUUUAUAACUCUGUUGAUAGGAAAAAGUUUUAAAGUUUAAUAGAUUAGCUAUUAAAGUAGUUGUGGAAGCAAACUAGCAGGACAAGACCAAAAGGCCUAGGUACAUAAAGAAGUUUGGAGACCAGAACUAAAAGGUAACUGGGCUAUGAGGACAGCCAAUAUUUUGGCCCUGGCCCCUCAAGGUCAACAAAGUUCCAGGACAUGAGGGAACCUUCUCUACAGGGUCCUACAUCUUUGGUAAGUCACUCAACCUCCUAAACUGGGAGAUUGCUGGACACCAGAGGACAAUAUACUGUGUGCCAAAGGAGGGUCACCAAGAAAAAUAUCUCCAAUGCUUUCACUGAAAGCAACUUGGUCAAGCAAGGCCAUGACCCAUCCAGACGGCUGACACUGACAGAGGAGCAGAGAGGCACUAUGCAUGGUUCCAAAGUAAUGGCCUGGGGAGACUUAACUGACCUUAAUAGAUAACAAGAGGUUCAUAUUGAUUGACAUAGGUCUCGCUUUAACUUGGUCUUAAACACCCAGCAGAAAAAAUAACCAAAAGAGGUAUAAAACAAUGACAUAAUAAUAAAGCUAGACUUCAGAAAAAUUAAGACAUAGCCCACCCAUUAAAAUCUUUUGGUUCACUCAUGACACAGCCAUUUCAAAAAGACAAAACUUUGGGUACUAAAUAGAAGCAAAAAUCAUUAAUUAGCUACAAGUGUGUACAGAUUUGCUCAGUUACAUACACCUUUUAUAUUUAAAAAACAAAGGAUUAUAAAGAUUAUAUAAAUUGUGUUUAUCACUUUUCCACUCAUUCUCUAAGAGCAAGGACAUGACACAGGGGCCCUUAGAUCAGGAGCUAUGAUCUCUUCCAUAACAGUCUCUUACUUCUAUAACAAAUGAGCCCCUAAACAUCCAGCUGUCUCUGUAAAACCUAUGUAAAUAAUAAAUAAAAAAUUACAUGUCAAAUGAAAAAAAUUAAAACUCAAUGGGCCAGAUAGAUAUGCCCCCCAAGGUACUAAUCAAUGGUGGGGUACAUUUGGUUCCUGGAGCUCAUGGCUAGCCUGGCUAUUACUACUCUUGGGACCCCUCAGUAUUAUCUGUUUAAUUCUCUGUUUUGGACUGUGCCUGGUUCGCUGUUUUCAAAAUUUCUUGCAGGAACGAUUGAGGGCAUUCACCAGCCAGACAGUCACAGAGUUCAUCAUGGCAGGGUACCAGCCAGUACGGCAAAAGGAAGAGGUCCCCACUUGCCACCGGCCUCAUGAGAUCCAGGUCUAGCCCCGAUCUUUGCCCCUGGUCAGCAG
rnacentral:lncRNA from 1 species